ensembl:lncRNA LINC02128 long intergenic non-protein coding RNA 2128
UCAUUUGCAAGUCACUGCGCGGCGCAUGCAGAAGCAGCCGCGGGCCGGCGGGGCGCGCAGAUAAGGUCUGGGGGCGUGGGUUUCGGGCUGUACCUGCAUUAUCGCGGCUUCCUUAAGCUCGGAUGAAUAUGUAAAUCUCUCGCUGCAGCCUUCCGGUGCCGCAGUCGCAGCCGUGGGGGCCGCCUCCGCUGUAGCAAUUCCGAGGUGCCCACUUUGUUCAUCUCUGCUCACUGGGGGAGCCAGGACACGGAUCCAGGUUUUCUGACUCCAGGUCUCAGGCUUGCUCCAUAGCGCCACCUGCUGGUGACGGCAAUCGGUAGGCACCCAAAUCAAGACUCAGAUUUCCUCAUCUCAGAAGUUGUCCACUUCUUCUCCGACCUCCACGGUAACUCGGAACCACACCGUGGAGUUAUCCCUGUGUCCUCUUUCUCGGAAGUUCCACAUCCAACCCCUCAGCAGGUCUCAGCGGCACUCUCACCACCUCCUCUGCUCUGUUCCUGUUUCUCUUGGAUGGUCGAAUGUUUCCUAAGGAGUGUCUGCUGCUUCACGCUUGCCCCCUGGAGUGGCAUCUAAAAGGAUACCCUACAACUAACAGGCAUGAUGCCAUCAAGACAUCUUGAGCCUGGCUACCUCCCGUGGCCUGUAUUUUGUCCACAGGAAACUCGCGCAGUCUCACUACAGCAAAUUGAGGUGGUAUGGGGUGCCUGCUGCUGCCUCUCUCUUCACCUUUCCACAGAGGGCUGCCCCAGCCUGACUCCCACUUCCAGAGUUUCUCCAGCCAGGAGAAUCCUGAAAUCUCUGUAAAUAAGCAAUCCAGGAGCCAGAGAAUCAUGGGAUCUCAUAUAAACAAAUCAUCAAGGAAAAACACAGCCAGAGUCUCCAUUUGGUAAACCUCCGUGACUGGGGAUCCCCGGCCACCCAGAAAGCAGUAUUGCCUGCCAUGCAUGUCAUCACUGAUUUUUACUGCUGCAGCAGACUCCGUCAGACCUGCCUGCUGCUUCAGCGAAUUGUUCAGUGCACACCACCAGCUACCUGCUGUAAGCAUUCACACUCCUCUACCUGCCUGGCAGCAUUUCUCAGCUGAACACAGGCCAGGCCAGAAGUGCCAGGGAUUUAAUGCCCUUAGAAGUAGCUCUCUACCAAUGACAAAUGGAGCUGGUGGAUACAUUCUCAGCUUCCUCCCCUCUCAGGUGGAACAGCCCUGAGAUGUGCUCUAUGCAAUCUCCCACAAGUCCCCAGCAGGCUCAAGCUCCCAUUGUCCAACCCUGGUAACCUGCUCAUUGACACCCCUGUCUUGCCUUCCCUUCCUGGCCUCACUUUCUCACUCUCUUACUGUUGCCUCCUGAGAUCGCAUCCAAAAUAAAUGACCUGCACCCA